UUCAUUUUCUUCUUGCAUCAUUUCCCUAAUUUAAGGUUAGUCGUCUCAACUUGAAUGAAAUACACAUAACUUUGACAUAUGUAUUUUCAUAUACUGUAUAUAUAUAUAUAUAUAUAUUAAUAUGUUUUCGAAAAAUCCUAGUACAUAAAGUGUAUGUAGUGUGUGUCUUUUCGCGAAUAGUAUCUGGACUCGAAUUCAGUGGAAUGCAAGUGUGUAAAGAUAGAUCAUAACCUUUUUCUUAGUUUUCAUUUUCAUUUAGAUCUGUAUGAUAUUUUAUUUUUGUAAUUUUCUCAAUGUCUUAUACUCUUUAUACUAUUAUUGUUUAAAUUUUCUAACUGUUGCUCGGAAUAAGUUUUAAACUGCAACUGUUUUCAAUUAUACUUCAAGAGUUAUUUAACUUUUGACUGACAAGAUCUUUUGAAUUCUCAGGCCUUGAAAAGCAAUGCUAUUUUGUCUUUAGCAUAAAAGACGAAGUAAGAACAGUAUCUUGUCUCUAAUGUAUCAUUGACAUGUUAGUUUAGGUUCAUGUUGAUACAUUGUAAACACACAACUUAAGCAAAGAUGGUAGAUGAUGCAUCCAGUAGUAAAAAUCUACCCAACAAGUGACAUCUCUUAUCAUAAUAAACUCACUUUGCC
rnacentral:lncRNA from 1 species